rnacentral:tRNA from 1 species
CCGGCUGUAGACCACGCCUGACACGGCGCCGGUCAUCCAAACCGGAGUGCCGUCGGUUCAAAUCCGGCCCCCGGGA